GAGGCGAUCAUGGUGCGGAGCGGCGCGGAGCGCUGCGCACCGCGGGACUCGCCGCGACAAUGUGGCUCAUUGAGGAGGUUCCCCCGGCCCACGAGUGACGCGGCGCCGCGGCGGCUUCUGAUUGGCUGAACAGCGAGGGAAUUGAAACUCCAUUUCAAAGGAAAGAGAGGGGGAGAAGCAACCAGAACGGAGCUGGAGGAGCGUGGCCAAGCCAACCCGCUGCCAGAUCCCGUCCUGCCGGCCCCUGCCCGGCCAGCCCCGCUUUGACCGGGGUUUCGGUUAAAACCCCAUAUCAGCAGCUGAUGCUUUUUAAUCCUUUUCGACGAAUGACUGUGGUAAUGACAACGCCGGAGCUUGAAAGGAAGGGCCGUGCCCAGCGGCUGGAGCGGGGACGGAGCAUCCCGGGGUCCUGGGACCGGCUCUGGGUGCAACGGGCGCCAACCUGAGCCAAAUCCCCCCAGAGGGCUGGGAGCCCCGAAGAAGGAGCUUUGCAAACCCAACAAGGGCGAUAUCCCCCUUUUCUGCUGGGGAAACCGAGGCACGGAGUGGGAGGGGGGCAGGAAUUGAGAACCAGACCCAGCACAUCCCCUUCUUGAGGCCGCCGUGCGGCGCGGAGCAGCUGCAAUGAUCCGGGAGCUGGACCCGCUCCAGGAGAAGCAUUAACUCAUCCCAGAUCACCUGCCCCGUGAUUCACCGCUCCAGCGCUGCUCCACAUACUUUCCAACAACGUUUCAUUUGCCACACACACACACAUCCCAAACGAACCCAUCGGCACAAGAAUGACACCGGUGACCGGUUAUUUACUUUGCCUGGUCACCCAACGCACCGGAAGCCUUGAACUCGGGCAGACCCAGCCCUGUGUGGGGCCGGGAGCAGAAAACCGGUCCGAGAACUUUUCUUUCUUCGGCAGCCGUGGGAUGGACCUUGGGGCUGAGCUGCCAAGGAACCUUUCCCUGGCUACGCGGCCAGGAAGGAGUUUUGCCCAUCCCAACGCUCCGCAAAGGUGGAAGGAGAGGGGAGGAUGGUACCGGUGGGAAUCCAUCCACCCGUCCUACUGCUGCUCCUCUGUGGAUUCUCAUAAGCACGCAGGUCACCUCCAGCCCACCCAUCCUAAAACACCCAGCUGCAUCCCGAGCCCACCCACCCCAAGCAGCCCACCCUGCAGAGGGAUCCCCAGCGGGAAUGGGGACCCCCGGCUGGGUCACCCCAAGCUCAGCCCAGCCUCCCUGCCCUGCACAGCCAGGCUAAUCCCUGUUAUACGGGCGGAAAAGGGAGAUUAAAUUAGAUUAGACGCAGCCGCCUAAUUUUAGCUUCCUUGCGUGUCACGGGUGCUCUGGCACUGCUGUCGCUCCCCUGAACCUCACGCACCCACAAAGGCACCAGCCAGCACGGGGGGAACCCGGACGGGUUUGGCUGGGAAGUGGUGCCCAGUGGUGGGGGAGACAUGGGGGCACUGGAGCUCUGCUGAGAGGGGACCGCUGGUGACAGCCACCCUCUGCUGGUGACAGCCACCCUCAGCCUUGGGAACAUCUCCAGCCCUGAGCAGUGGCCCCUGCCCAGGAGGAUUUUUGCAGUGGGAGCCACAGCAUUGCCAAACCCGGUUUGCCCAGUCCCCGCCAAGCACCUGCCGGUCCCUCUGCCUCCUGCCACAUGGCUGUGACGGGACAGUGACGUUCUCCUUCUGCUGCCAGCCCUGACCUCCCUCGUGGUGACACCGGACCCUGCCAGCUCCAUCGAAUGUCUCCUGAUCCAAGGGGACAUCAGAUCCCCUGUGGGACUGGGAUCAGCCCUGUGAUGUGAUGGGGAGUGGAGACAUCCGAGCCCCUUGUGUUUUCAUGAGCUGCACUGUCCCCAAGAUCCCAGCAAGGUCCCCAAGCCCCGGAGGGGAUGUCAGAGCUGGCAGGAGCCCUGGAGGAGGGAUGGUGUCCCCAAAGGCUGUCAUGGCCAAACCCAGGGAGCACUGGGGGUGCCAGGGCUGUACAGGCUCUGCACAAACCCAGCUCACCUGAGGUCAAAAGGGACCCAGGACCUUGAGUCACUGGGAUGAACAAACCCCGCGUGCGGCACUUUCCCAAUCGCGGCAGAAGGGGAAGUUUCUCCAGCGUCCCCGGGCGCGUUCCCAGCCACCGGCAGAGCUGGGUCACCGCCACGUCCCACGGCAUGGGGCGAGUGCACGUCCCCAGUGCCACCAAACAUGGGCUGGGACACGAGCGGGCGAGCAGCAGCAGGCAGGGACAUGCUCAGUGCCACGGACUUGUCCCUCACCUGCUCCACGGGACCCUGAGCCCUGGGUGUCAGUGAGCCCAGGGGGUUUGCAGCCCCUGUAAAGUGUGUGGGUGCCAUUACCAUUUCCAAUACAAAGAGUGUGGAUGCUGCCCCGGGUUUUCACCCUCUGCACCAGCCUCCCAGAGCUGGAUCUCAGCAGUCCCAUCCUGCAGUGUGCGGGCAGCGGGGUAACCCACCACCAUCCCCAAAUGGCUGUGGGUUAACCCAUCACCAUCCCAAAAUGGCAGUGGGAUAACUUGGCCGUCACCCCGAGAUGCCAUGGCUGCAUCCAGCCCCAUCGCGGUGCAGGGUUGGUCCUCAAGCCCCGGAUGGCAGAACAGGAGCCCAUGGGACAUCCUGGCUCUCCAGGAUGCUGCAGGAAAGGGCCAUGGAGGUGGCAGCUGAAGGCUCAG